AUUUUCCAGAACAAAAGAAACAAGAAUUAGAGAAGUGGAAACGCAGGGCGUCCUACGACCCGAGAAAGGCAGCGGCGCUCGGAAAAAACAGCAAACCUCCCCCGAAGACUGCAAGAGCGUGACAGGUGUCAAAUGCAUGCAAUUCUGGCUAAAGUGACAUGAGAGGCGCCAUCUUGGAAGUAGCGUUUUGCGAUCUCAGUCGUUCCACGGGCAGGUGCUAGUGUCCCCAAGCGUCCGCUACCAGCCGCCUCCAACAGACAUUGUGGAGAAUUACGACGCUUCGAGCGACAACGACUUCUAAAACGCUUGCAUUAAGAUCGAUAUUACGAUGGCAUUGUGAUAGGAAUGUGUACGACUUAUAAGUGCUGUGUUUGGUGCGAAAGUGUAAAAAAUAUACCAUUGUAUCCGUAGAAGUAAUUUAACUUGUUUCAAAAGCAUUUUUAUGACAUCUGUGGUAGUUUCGUAUAAUCAAAAUGUUGUCUAUGUUAUCUGCAUAUUGACACAUGUCAUUUACGCGCCAUAUACAAUGUCAUUGUAUUUCUUUUCUAAUUUCCGUAAAAUUUCGCACAAUUAACGUUCACGUUAUUAUUUCGGAACUGAAUUAUUUCUUUGUAAAAUCGUGGUAUUUAAAUAAUAAAGUAGUGAUAAAAUGUAUGAACAAACGCUAUCACUAAAAGUGUAUGUUUUGGUGAGAUUUUUUUUUGUAUUAUUCAAUUUAAUGUUUUCAUUUAAUUAGAAUAUCGAUACUUAUUGAUUUAUUUAUAGAUUUAGCGAUUAGUUGCUCAUAAUGGUACAUCGAUUAGAUAUACGUCGACUUUGGAAUUUUUUAGGUUAGGUAGUUGUCUAUCCAAUUUUAUAUUUAGUGCAAUAUAUCAUCACAAUUUUAUCAUCUAUUAGAUUAAUAAAUAUUAGAAUUUUCAUUAUAAUUACAUUCAUAUCAAUAUAUGUAAUAAUUGCAUAAUAUUUAA